rnacentral:rRNA from 1 species
CCUACGGGGCGCAGCAGUGGGGAAUAUUGGGCAAUGGGCGAAAGCCUAACCCAGCAACGCCGCGUGGAGGAAGAAGGCUUUCGGGUUGUAAACUUCUUUUGACAGGGAAGAGCAGAAGACGGUACCUGUCGAAUAAGCCACGGCUAACUACGUGCCAGCAGCCGCGGUAAUACAUAGGUGGCAAGCGUUGUCCGGAUUUACUGGGUGUAAAGGGCGUGCAGCCGGGCUGACAAGUCAGAUGUGAAAUCCCGCGGCUCAACCGCGGAACUGCAUUUGAAACUGUCAGUCUUGAGUACCGGAGAGGG